AUUGAACGCUGGCGGCAUGCCUUACACAUGCAAGUCGAACGGCAGCACGGGAGCAAUCCUGGUGGCGAGUGGCGAACGGGUGAGUAAUAUAUCGGAACGUGCCCGGUCGUGGGGGAUAACGUAGCGAAAGCUACGCUAAUACCGCAUACGAUCUACGGAUGAAAGCGGGGGAUCGCAAGACCUCGCGCGAUUGGAGCGGCCGAUAUCAGAUUAGGUAGUUGGUGAGGUAAAGGCUCACCAAGCCGACGAUCUGUAGCUGGUCUGAGAGGACGACCAGCCACACUGGGACUGAGACACGGCCCAGACUCCUACGGGAGGCAGCAGUGGGGAAUUUUGGACAAUGGGCGCAAGCCUGAUCCAGCAAUGCCGCGUGCAGGAUGAAGGCCUUCGGGUUGUAAACUGCUUUUGUACGGAACGAAACGGUGAGCUCUAAUACAGUUUGCUAAUGACGGUACCGUAAGAAUAAGCACCGGCUAACUCCGUG
rnacentral:rRNA from 1 species